AGGAGUAGGCGUGGUCUUAUCAUAGAUAGGGUAAAGGGAGCCGUGGUCUCACGAUAGUGGGGGUAAUAGGUAACUUAGGUGGGGGUGUUAAGGUCAAUUAAAAUGGGGAUUAAAGUGCGCAUGCGCACUAUAACUUCAUGUCAGUGGUGGGGUAGGUAGCCAUUCGGAAAUGGUUGUCUCCUCCUACGAUGUCAUCUACUGGAGGGUAAGGUAAACCUCAUGUGAACUGAUAACGGUAACUGAUAAAAGUACGUGUAAACAUACACAUUACAUUGAAAUAGUGUACGUCAAAUAGUGGCCGCCGUUGCCACUUUAACAUAUUUACUUAAUAUUAACGCUACAAAGUCUUCAUCAACAAUUCCUAUACAGGAAAGGGGUAACGAAACAUAACAUAAACCAACCUAUAAUGGGUGGGGAUGAAUCCAAGUUAAACUAAAACGUUUUCUAAGAAUUUUUAUCAUUGCCUACCAGACGCAUAGGUAAGCAUAUUUCCAACAUCAAAGGCACCGCCAUAUUAUAACUCACAUUACCGUCUACAUUUUAUAAGAACAAAGACAACCUCUCUCGUUUUGGCAUAAUAAAUUCUAAGAAAUUUAUCAUGGGUAACCAGACGCUUAGCUAAGCAUAUUUUAAACAUCAAAGAUUUCGCCGUACAGUAAUAAUCACUGUUGUAUGCAUUUAUUUUUUACAUAGUAUUUUAUUGUUGGUAACCAGACGCUUACGUCAGCAUAUUUCAAACGUCAAAUGUAUUACUAUAUUAUAACUCACAUUACCGUCUACAUUUUAUGAGAACAAUGGCAACGUCUGUCGUUUUGGCAUAAUAAAUUCUAAGAAAUUUAUCAUGGGUAACCAGACGCUUAGCUAAGCAUAUUUCCAACAUCAAAGGUACCGCUAUAUUAUAACGUUCAUAGGCGUCUGCAUUUUUAUUUUUUACAUAGUAUUUUAUCAUUGCCUACCACCAGAUGCUUAGAAAAACAUCUCGUUAAUAUUAGUAUAUUACUAUUAAUUAUAUAAUUAAUAUAAUUACUAUAAUUGGUAAUAUAUUUUUAGAAUUACUAUGUUUAGGUUGCUAUAAUAGUAUAAUCGCUAUUAUUAUUAUUUUCUACUGCGCCUUUAAAAUAAUAAUAUGUGUAUCGCAUUUUAUUUUAUUAUAUUUAAUUUGACAAUUUUUUUAUACCUAUAACUAGAGGUAUUACAUUUAAAGUCGCUCCCCCACUACCAGCACCCCCGAGUCUUCACUGCGUUUAUCAUUUAAUGUAUACAUUACAUUGAAAUAGUGUACGUCAAGUAGCGACCGCCGCCACCACACUUGACUAUUCCUUGAACGAUUUGUAACAAACUCUAUUAAGACAAUUGGGUGUGAGGUGCGCACAAUGUUUGAAACCCAAUGAAAACUAACCUAAGUCAGGGGAGGGGGAUUUCCUCAACAUGUCGUAAUGAGCGACGGGGUAAUGAAACUUAACUUGAAACCAACCGCCAUAUUAUAAUCCCACAUUACCGUCAACAUUUUACGAAAAAUAAUUGCUGUCUGCGUUUUAUCAAAGUUAUCUUUUUCUAAGAAUUUUUAUCAUUCCCUACCAGACACUUAGGUAAGCAUAUUUCAAACAUCAAAGGUACCGCCAUAUUAUAACACACAUUACCGUCUACAUUUUAUAAAAACAAAGACAACGUCUGUCGUUAUGGCAUUAUAAUUUCUAAGAAUUUUAUCAUGGGUAACCAGACGCUUAGGUAAGCAUAUUUAAAAUAUCAAAGAUUUCGCCGUACAGUAAUAAUCACUGUUGUAUGCAUUUAUUUUUUACAUAGUAUUUUAUCGUUGGUAACCAGACGCUUACGUCAGCAUAUUCCAGAGAUCAAAUGUAUUACUAUAUUAUAACGUUCAUUGGCGUCAGCAUUUUAUGAGAACAAUGACAACGUCUGUCGUUAUGGCAUAAUAAAUUCUAAGAAAUUUAUCAUCGGUUACCAGACGCUUAGGUCAGCAUAUUUCAAACAUCAAAGAGGUCGCCGCAUAGUAAUGUCGUAUGAAUCUUAUCAUCGGAUGCCAGACGCUUAGGUCAGCAUAAUUCCAAAGAUGUUACAAUAUAUUAAUGGCCAUUGUUGUAUCUAUUUUAUGAGAAAAAUGGCAACGUUGUCUUUUUUCACGCCUACGCGUUUUAUGAGAACUAUUGCUAUCAUCGUUUACCAGACGCUUACGUCAGCAUAUUUCAAACAUCAAAGAGGUCGCCGCAUAGUAAUGAUUAUUGUCGUAUGAAUCUUAUCAUCGGAUGCCAGACGCUUAGAUAAACAUAUUUCCGACAUUAUUUGUGUAGUACCUGUUUAAACCAACCAAAACUUGUCUAAACAACAUCUUUGACCCCUAUAAAAGAACGUCACAUCAAUUUCAGGAUCAUUCACUCAUUAUCUCUUCUAAAGCGAUUAUACCAAAAACCAUUUGUUUGAUUAUUUGUUGUCCUAAAGAAUUUCUAUGACUUUUGAUAUAAAAUAAAAUGGAGCAAUUAAAGAAACAGUUGAACGAUCAGAGUGCAUUAAAAAGAUAUUCAAAAUUAAGUGAUUUGGAGGAACACACGCCAUACAAAAUCAUAUCUAUGAAAAAUACAAGCACACGAAAUGGGGUUGUCGUUGUUGGUUGUCUAUUCAACAAUAUGAAUGUGUUUAUCCCGAGAUUGAAAUUAACUAAUGAAGAAAUCGAAGCUUACAAUAUCAACAAUGAUGAUAACAAAAUACAUUUAUUAUAUAGAGGCAAAAGUGGAAAUGCAUAUUUGUUUGAUUUUCAGUAAUUUGUU